rnacentral:rRNA from 1 species
UACGUAGGGGGCUAGCGUUGUCCGGAAUCAUUGGGCGUAAAGAGCGUGUAGGCGGCCCGGUAAGUCCGCUGUGAAAGUCGGGGGCUCAACCCUCGAAUGCCGGUGGAUACUGUCGGGCUCGAGUGCGGAAGAGGCGAGUGGAAUUCCUGGUGUAGCGGUGAAAUGCGCAGAUAUCAGGAGGAACACCGAUUGCGAAGCAGCUCGCUGGGACGUUACUGACGCUGAGACGCGAAAGCGUGGGGAGCAAACAGG